AAACUGAAGAGUUUGAUCCUGGCUCAGAUUGAACGCUGGCGGCAUGCCUUACACAUGCAAGUCGAACGGCAGCACGGACUUCGGUCUGGUGGCGAGUGGCGAACGGGUGAGUAAUGUAUCGGAACGUACCUUUCAGUGGGGGAUAACGUAGCGAAAGUUACGCUAAUACCGCAUAUUCUGUGAGCAGGAAAGCAGGGGAUCGCAAGACCUUGCGCUGAUUGAGCGGCCGAUAUCAGAUUAGCUAGUUGGUG
rnacentral:rRNA from 1 species